UACGAAGGGGGCUAGCGUUGUUCGGAAUUACUGGGCGUAAAGCGCACGUAGGCGGAUAUUUAAGUCAGGGGUGAAAUCCCAGAGCUCAACUCUGGAACUGCCUUUGAUACUGGGUAUCUAGAGUAUGGAAGAGGUGAGUGGAAUUCCGAGUGUAGAGGUGAAAUUCGUAGAUAUUCGCAAGAACACCAGUGGCGAAGGCGGCUCACCUGGCCCGGUACUGACGCUGAGGUGCGAAAGCGUGGGGAGCAA
rnacentral:rRNA from 1 species